rnacentral:ncRNA from 2 species
GGCGACGAACACGGGAGCCCUACCGACUGGGCUGAGAGGAAAGCAGUUUCGCUUUCGACCGUUUGGACCUGAACCGGGUAAUGCCGGCGCAGGAAGGUUUUCUCUUCUCCGUG